rnacentral:tRNA from 1 species
GGGGUUGUGGCUCAGUGGUAGAGCGUGCGCCUAGCACAUGCGAGGCCCUGGGUUCGAUCCUCAGCACCUUA